rnacentral:ribozyme from 13 species
AGAGAGAGAAAGAGAGGAAGAGAGAGAUCGAAAGAGAGAACGAGAAAGCAUUUUCUUAUUCCUUUUUUCUUGUUAUUUUUCUUUUUCGUCAAACCUGUUGCCCUUUCAACAUUCUUUGUCUAUAAUAA